UUGGUCUUGCAUUCUUAGGUAUUACAGUUUUUAUGCAUUCAUGCUUAGUUAUUUUAUAUUGUUCAGUUAGUCCUUAUCUCAUGUGCACAUUACCCCAUGCAUUUCAGCCAGACCUCAUUUCAUAUACUAGUACAUUAAAAUUAUUUACCGCAUACUCUUCUUUGCAUUAUGAUGUCUUUUAUCAUAGGUUUGGCCGCUCAGUUUGCUGACCGCACUUAGAUAGUUCAGC
rnacentral:lncRNA from 1 species